ACCAUUAAUUCUAUGCUUAUUGUAGGAGAUGUAUACAAAAUAAGACUAAGAUACAUUAAUAAAUUAAAAUGGUAUUUGAGUUUCAGCUUAAUAAAGAUAGGCUUACACUAUUUAAUGUCAAAUUAAAUAAUACAAGUUUAAUUAAGACUAUCUCUAUGAAUAUAAACAAAGUAGCAACUAUUAUAGCAGAAGUUAAUCUCCCAAUGUGCGUAGAACAGCUGCUUACAGAGGGUCUGUUAUGUGUGUGCCCAAUGGACACUCAUUCCUUUCAAAUGUCACUAUCUAUAGAGAAGAAUAUACAAUUCUAAGCAAUUAUAUUAGAGAAGAAUCUAGAUUAGCAAUUCUCAAGGAAAAUUUUUGUGGCUGUAAGAAAUUGUUAAUGGCCACAGUGAUAAAAUGAUCUGAAAUGUUGUGCUAAAGUUCCAAGAUAGCAAUGUAGUAAAGCAUUUGGUGGUUAUUUUAAGAACUGUGUUCAAUUGCCAAUUUCACAUCUUUAGAUUUUUCAGAAAGGAUCCAGGAUCAACUUAUUAAAAUCCAUUUCUCAACCUUUUCAGUUGACCAAUCCAGUUUUGAGCAAUCAUGAAGAGCUCUAAGAGGGUUUCACUAUUAUGUAUAUUACAGUAAAAGUGAAUAAUCCCAUGAUUAUAUAUAAUUGCUGGUUAUUAUGCAUAAUCACUAAUGAUUUCAGUAAAUGCGAUAAAUUUAUUUCAUCUACUGCAAAUGAAUCACAUUUACUGGUGAUUAUGCA
rnacentral:lncRNA from 1 species